rnacentral:rRNA from 1 species
AUUGAACGCUGGCGGCAUGCCUUACACAUGCAAGUCGAACGGUAACAGGUUAAGCUGACGAGUGGCGAACGGGUGAGUAAUGUAUCGUAACGUGCCCAGUCGUGGGGGAUAACUGCUCGAAAGAGCAGCUAAUACCGCAUACGACCUGAGGGUGAAAGCGGGGGAUCGCAAGACCUCGCGCGAUUGGAGCGGCCGAUAUCAGAUUAGGUAGUUGGUGAGGUAAAGGCUCACCAAGCCGACGAUCUGUAGCUGGUCUGAGAGGACGACCAGCCACACUGGGACUGAGACACGGCCCAGACUCCUACGGGAGGCAGCAGUGGGGAAUUUUGGACAAUGGGCGCAAGCCUGAUCCAGCCAUGCCGCGUGCGGGAAGAAGGCCUUCGGGUUGUAAACCGCUUUUGUCAGGGAAGAAAAGGUUCUGGCUAAUACCUGGGACUCAUGACGGUACCUGAAGAAUAAGCACCGGCUAACUACGUG